rnacentral:rRNA from 1 species
UACGUAGGGGGCAAGCGUUGUCCGGAUUUAUUGGGCGUAAAGAGCGUGUAGGCGGCUUGGUAGGUCCGCUGUGAAAACUCGAGGCUCAACCUCGAGAUGUCGGCGGAAACCACUUGGCUAGAGUCCGGAAGAGGAGAGUGGAAUUCCUGGUGUAGCGGUGAAAUGCGCAGAUAUCAGGAAGAACACCUAUGGCGAAGGCAGGUCUCUGGGCUGACACUGACGCUCAUGCACGAAAGCGUGGGGAGCAAACAGG